AUUGAACGCUGGCGGCAGGCUUAACACAUGCAAGUCGAACGGUAACAUAAAGAAGCUUGCUUCUUUGAUGACGAGUGGCGGACGGGUGAGUAAUGCUUGGGAAUCUAGCUUAUGGAGGGGGAUAACUACGGGAAACUGUAGCUAAUACCGCGUAGAAUCGGGAGAUGAAAGUGUGGGACCUUCGGGCCACAUGCCAUAGGAUGAGCCCAAGUGGGAUUAGGUAGUUGGUGAGGUAAAGGCUCACCAAGCCGACGAUCUCUAGCUGGUCUGAGAGGAUGACCAGCCACACUGGGACUGAGACACGGCCCAGACUCCUACGGGAGGCAGCAGUGGGGAAUAUUGCGCAAUGGGGGCAACCCUGACGCAGCCAUGCCGCGUGAAUGAAGAAGGCCUUCGGGUUGUAAAGUUCUUUCGGUAGCGAGGAAGGCAUUUAGUUUAAUAAA
rnacentral:rRNA from 1 species